rnacentral:rRNA from 1 species
CGCGUGGGAACAUACCCUUUUCUACGGAAUAGCCUCGGGAAACUGAGAGUAAUACCGUAUACGCCUCGGGAAGGAUUAUCGUGAGGAUGCCGCGUAGAUAGAUAGUUGGUGGGGUAACGGGCCUACCAAGUCUACGAUCUAUAGCUGGUUUGUAGAGGAUGAUCAGCAACACUGGGACUGAGACACGGCCCAGACUCCUACGGGAGGCAGCAGUGGGGAAUCUUAGACAAUGGGCGCAAGCCUGAUCUAGCGAUGCCGCGUGAGUGACGAAGGCCUUAGGGUCGUAAAACUACUUUCGCC